rnacentral:rRNA from 1 species
AGAGUUUGAUCCUGGCUCAGAUUGAACGCUGGCGGCAGGCCUAACACAUGCAAGUCGGGCGGUAACAGGGAGAAGCUUGCUUCUCUGCUGACGAGCGGCGGACGGGUGAGUAAUGUAUGGGGAUCUGCCUGAUGGAGGGGGAUAACUACUGGAAACGGUAGCUAAUACCGCAUAAUGUCUCCGGACCAAAGCGGGGGACCUUCGGGCCUCGCACCAUCAGAUGAACCCAUAUGGGAUUAGCUAGUAGGUGAGGUAAUGGCUCACCUAGGCGACGAUCUCUAGCUGGUCUGAGAGGAUGAUCAGCCACACUGGGACUGAGACACGGCCCAGACUCCUACGGGAGGCAGCAGUGGGGAAUAUUGCACAAUGGGCGCAAGCCUGAUGCAGCCAUGCCGCGUGUAUGAAGAAGGCCUUAGGGUUGUAAAGUACUUUCAGUCGGGAGGAAGGUGUUGAGUUUAAUAUACUCAGCAAUUGACGUUACCGACAGAAGAAGCACCGGC